UUUUGCGCCUGCCACCCCCGCCGUGAGGCGGGUUCGGAAAGCCACGGGUCUCGGUGCCCUGAAGUAUUCGAGACGGCCGGGCCGCCUCC
rnacentral:ncRNA from 1 species